UACAGAGGUCUCAAGCGUUGUUCGGAUUCAUUGGGCGUAAAGGGUGCGUAGGCGGCGCGGUAAGUCGGGUGUGAAAUCUCGGAGCUUAACUCCGAAACUGCAUUCGAUACUGCCGUGCUUGAGGACUGGAGAGGAGACUGGAAUUUACGGUGUAGCAGUGAAAUGCGUAGAUAUCGUAAGGAAGACCAGUGACGAAGGCGGGUCUCUGGACAGUUCCUGACGCUGAUGCACGAAGGCCAGGGGAGCAAACGGG
rnacentral:rRNA from 1 species